rnacentral:rRNA from 1 species
CAGGCCUUGACAUGUCCAGUUUGGAUUCCAGAGAUGGAUUCCUUCACCUCGGGUGGCUGGAACACAGGUGCUGCAUGGCUGUCGUCAGCUCGUGUCGUGUGAUGUUGGGUUAAGUCCCGCAACGAGCGCAACCCUCGUCCUUAGUUGCCAUCAGGUAAUGCUGGGAACUCUAAGGAAACUGCCCGUGAUAAGCGGGAGGAAGGUGGGGACGACGUCAAGUCAUCAUGGCCCUUACGGCCUGGGCUACACACGUGCUACAAUGGCUGCGACAAUGGGCAGCGAACCCGCGAGGGUAAGCCAAUCCCCAAACGCAGUCUCAGUUCGGAUUGUUCUCUGCAACUCGAGAACAUGAAGCUGGAAUCGCUAGUAAUCGUAGAUCAGCAUGCUACGGUGAAUACGUUCCC